UACGUAGGCAGCGAGCGUUGUUCGGAGUUACUGGGCGUAAAGGGUGUGUAGGCGGUUGUUUAAGUUUGGUGUGAAAUCUCCCGGCUCAACUGGGAGGGUGCGCCGAAUACUGAAUGACUAGAGUGCGGGAGAGGUGAGUGGAAUUCCUGGUGUAGCGGUGAAAUGCGUAGAUAUCAGGAGGAACACCAGCGGCGAAGGCGGCGCUCUGGGCCGGUACUGACGCUGAGGAGCGAAAGCGUGGGUAGCAAACAGG
rnacentral:rRNA from 1 species